UACGUAGGAGGCAAGCGUUGUCCGGAAUUACUGGGCGUAAAGCGCACGUAGGCGGCUUUGUAAGUUAGAGGUGAAAGCCCGGGGCUCAACUCCGGAAUUGCCUUUAAGACUGCAUCGCUAGAAUUGUGGAGAGGUAAGUGGAAUUCCGAGUGUAGAGGUGAAAUUCGUAGAUAUUCGGAAGAACACCAGUGGCGAAGGCGACUUACUGGACACAUAUUGACGCUGAGGUGCGAAAGCGUGGGGAGCAAACAGG
rnacentral:rRNA from 1 species